UACGUAGGGCGCGAGCGUUGUCCGGAAUUAUUGGGCGUAAAGAGCUCGUAGGUGGCUUGUCGCGUCUGCCGUGAAAUCCCGUGGCUUAACUGCGGGUCUGCGGUGGAUACGGGCAGGCUGGAGGUAGGCAGGGGCAAGCGGAAUUCCUGGUGUAGCGGUGAAAUGCGCAGAUAUCAGGAGGAACACCGGUGGCGAAGGCGGCUUGCUGGGCCUAUCCUGACGCUGAGGAGCGAAAGCGUGGGGAGCGAACAGG
rnacentral:rRNA from 1 species